GUUUGGUUUUUUUUUUUGUACUGCAGAUCUAACUUGGGUCCCUGCGCUUGUGAGGCAGGCGGCAGAACCACUAAGCUAAAUCCCCAGCCCCAAGGUCCAAUUUUCUUAAAGAAAAACAGUCAGGAGGUUCUUGAUAGGAGCAGGUGGCAAUAGAGGUUGGGAUGGCAAUGACAAAUAUUCAUGUUAUUGGCCCACUCCUGGGAUCUCUUACUGAGUAUGUUAAAUGCAGCAUUUUCACCCAAUGCCUGGCUCGUUUUCUUUAGUUUUAUCCACCCAACUGUGAGAGCAAAAUGAUUCUGGUUAUUCCUGGUUCUGGUAUCCCCUGACAACCCCUUCCCCUCAGUGACCAAGAAGAAGUUUUUGCAGGGGCCAGUAACAGCCAUCAAUCUGAGGGGAGACUGCAGUGCUUCAAAGAGAACGUGAAUCAUCAGAAGACUGGAACUUCAGAGGUUUCUGGUUCUCUGCAUUAUAGCUAAGUCCUUUAGAACUGAGAACAGUCUUACUAUGAUGACAAACACAUAAAACACAGUUCCAAGCCUCUCACUUGCUUGCAUCUCAGAAAUGUGUUCACAAGACUUUGUGUUUUUGGGAAACUUGAAAAAGCAAGGUAUUUUUCCCCAGCAAGUAAGUGUGAAGUCUUUCUUCAUCCUAACUUCUCUGUCACACCUCCUCCCAUGUUGGGUAGCUCUGAACUGGCCAUGAGCAUUUUGGGGAUCCAAGCAAGGGGACAUUGUUAGAGGCACUUUCAGUUUGGGCUCAUGAGUUGCAACUGAGUGGUGUGCAGUUGCUUCCUUCUAUAAUUAGAUUAUGACUACUCAUCUAGAAAUAGUCCUGUUAUUCAUUCAGAAUUAUGUAGAAUGGUAAAGGGCCCAAGAUUACAUUAUGUCACAAUAGGAAAACGUUCCAUAGUGCCUGGCACUGGGAGUAGUGCUGGAGAAAUAAAGUUGGACCUGGGUAGAGCCAUAUGUCAGCUUGUGAGAAAAAAUCUUCUGUUUGUCAGAAAUCAGGAAAGAACUAUGAUGAAGCCAAUGAAAAUGAUCUCUACAUAGGUGUAAAGAUAAACCCGAGCAACAUAAAGGUUGUUUCUGAACUCAACAUCCCAGUCUGCCACCAGCUAAAGACUCCCUCUCUGACCUGGGACAUGUGUAUGGAAAAGCUUUUGGUGAUGAGUUUCCCAUGUUGAAUUUGUAAUCUAGUGAGAUUAUUGGGGGCAGGGGUUGUCUUUGUGUACACAUCUGAGCCACUAUGUGUGUGGCCCACCAGGGAGCAUCAGAAGCUUCUACACUGAGGUCACCUGAGGAUAACUGACAAUCAUGAAUUACAAGACCCUCAUCUCUCCCUCAAAAUAACUUAUUUCUAAAGAUUCUCCCAAAUUAUAAAGAGAUCAAUUAAUGUAGAAGUCUCAAAGGCACUCUG
ensembl:lncRNA